CCUACGGGUGGCUGCAGUGAGGAAUAUUGGUCAAUGGACGCGAGCCUGAACCAGCCAAGUCGCGUGAGUGAAGACGGCCCUACGGGUGGUAAACCUCGUUGGCCGGGGAGCAACGGGCGCCACGUGUGGCGCCACUGAGAGUACGCGGAGAAAAAGCAUCGGCUAACUCCGUGCCAGCAGCCGCGGUAAUACGGAGGAUGCGAGCGUUAUCCGGAUUUAUUGGGUUUAAAGGGUGCGUAGGCGGAGCGUUAAGUCAGUGGUCAAAUUGAGGGGCUCAACCCCUUCCCGCCAUUGAAACUGGCGCUCUUGAGUGGAAGAGAGGUGUGUGGAAUGCGUGGUGUAGCGGUGAAAUGCAUAGAUAUCACGCAGAACCCCGAUUGCGAAGGCAGCAUGCCGGCUUCCGACUGACGCUGAAGCACGAAAGCGUGGGGAUCGAACAGGAUUAGAUACCCUGGUAGUC
rnacentral:rRNA from 1 species